GGCGAGUGUUCAGUGGGAGAAAAGGAUACAUAAGUCAUUAAAUUCCAUGUGUUCAGAUUUAGAGACGUCUUUGGCGAAAUUUCGGUUUCAAUCUGAACUUGAAGAAUUGGCGGAAAAGUGGAAUGAGCUCAGUACCUACAAUUUAGAUUUAUCUAAAUACAGACCAGUCUACGCACCGAAAGAUUUUUUAGAAGUUCUCAUAACAUUAUCCGGAUAUGUACCAUUUACGAAAGAGGACGAACCGAAAUGGGAAUUUGCUCAUCUACCUCUACAAGUAAAAACACUUGAUCAGUUG